rnacentral:rRNA from 1 species
UACAGAGGGUGCAAGCGUUGUUCGGAAUUAUUGGGCGUAAAGGGAGUGUAGGCGGCUUGGUAAGUCUUCUGUGAAAUCUACGGGCUUAGCCUGUAAAGUGCAGAGGAAACUGUCAAGCUUGAGUGUCGGAGAGGAUAGGGGAAUACCCGGUGUAGAGGUGAAAUUCGUAGAGAUCGGGUGGAACACCAGUGGCGAAGGCGCCUGUCUGGCUGACAACUGACGCUGAGACUCGAAAGCAUGGGGAGCAAACAGG